UCUUUUAAAUGUCUGGCGUUAUCAACGACUUCUUGCGCCGCUGCCUCAAGAAGGUUGCCGGCAAAGUGCAGCCGCUGACCGUGGUGCAGGGAAACGAGGGAGGCGACAUGGACAGCAUUGUCGGCUGCAUUUACCUUGCCAUGCUUUUCGAUAAGCAGCCCAAAUUCGGUUUUGAGAACCCUGUGCCGGCGCUGAACUUUCCACAGGAAGAUUUCGGCCUGCGCAACGAUGUGGCGAAUCUCUUCAAAGAGCUCGGGGUCGAUGCAUCGCUCUUGAUGUCGGUACAGAGAGGGCAGAUCGCGCAUAACUUUGUCGAUAUCGCUGCUCUCAACGCUUCGGUUGUUCUUUACGACCACAAUAAGCUGAGGGAAAACCAAAGCGACUUCGCCUCUAGAGUUGUUGGAGUAGUGGACCACCACUUUGACGAGAAGCAGUACCUCGAAACCACAUCCAAGCUAAGACUUCUGCGAACUGUCGGAUCUGCUUGCACACUCGUUACGGAGCUCUACCGCGAAUGUGGCGAGGAUGUCGUGUGUCCCACGCUGCUAACGGCUCCGAUUGUUCUGGAUACAGUGAACUUUGAGGCGGCACAAAAGAAGGUGACACCUGAGGACAUCGCUGCAUACGAGUGGUUGCAUGCAAAGGAGGUCGCUGACACUGCUGCCGCUGCAGCUCUCUUUGAGAAGCUUUCGAAGUGGAAGGAUGACGUGCUGACACUCAGCGUUCCAGAAAUCUUGAGGCGAGAUUACAAACAGUUCAGCUUCAAAGCCAGAACGCAGAAGGGCGUUAUGUCCACGGGCACCAGUAGCGUGCCGUGUGCGUGCAAGCAGCUAGAAGCUCACUUUUCUGUUGAUUUAAUUGUGGCGGAGGCUGCCAAGUACGUGGAGCAGCAUCAGCUGGAUGUGCUCAUCCUUGCAUUUGCCGGGAAAGUCGGCGGCAAGCACACUCGCGAGGUCGCCUUCUGUGCAAAGACUGAUGUGAUCUCGUUUUUUGCUCCUUUUGUAGCGGAGGCUCCGGAUGGCGUGUCAUUCACCAUGAUCACAAAGUGUCAGACGGUGGACGGAUCAUACGAGUACGCCUCGUACUCGCUCAGCGACCCUUCUGUUUCUCGCAAGAAGCUGGUUCCAGCGCUGUCCGAAUUCCUUGCCGAGGGGACGCGGAGUCUUUUGUGAGUAACCGCGUUUUUUUUUGUGAACAGUAGCUUAUUCUGAUUGAGGGUGGGGAAAAACAAACACAACAUAUGUCACCGAGCCCCAUAGAGGAGACCGUGCUGGGAAGGUGCGACGGGCGCAACGGCACUAUUUCCGCAACAAUUGUGCAAACUCGAAAAAGUAAAUGCUCCCGUUGUUUCUCAAGUGCUUCUUGGGCGGCCACAAUAGCCGUCGCACGCGUCGAAGAGGCUUAUGACAUUGCCGCCUCUCUCCACCAGCUCUUCUGAGUCCAUCAUCGUCAUGCCUGAAUCUAGAUUUUGCUGUGAAAGCAGCCAUACCAGCACGUGGGCUGAAUAAAGGUCACGGGAAAAGGUGUUCUUCCCUCGCAUGCAGGCGCAUCUGGUCUUCUCUCUCUCCUUUGCCUACUUUUGUCAUCUCGCAACCAACAAAAAAUCAACCUCGACGUCACACGCCAUAG
rnacentral:misc_RNA from 1 species